UACGUAGGUGGCAAGCGUUGUCCGGAUUUACUGGGCGUAAAGGGCGUGCAGGCGGUCUGUUAAGUUCAAGGUGAAAGCUCCCGGCUCAACUGGGAGAGGUCCUUGGAUACUGGCAGACUUGAGGGAGGUAGAGGAGAGUGGAAUUCCCGGUGUAGUGGUGAUAUGCGUAGAUAUCGGGAGGAACACCAAUGGCGAAGGCAGCCUUCUGGGCCAACACUGACGCUCAUGCACGAAAGCGUGGGGAGCAAACAGG
rnacentral:rRNA from 1 species